AAAAAACAACGACCAAAAAAUCACCGUCCACGUCCUCAUGGACCCCAAGCCACCCCAAGCCAAAAGAUACCUCAAACUACACCAGCUUCAGCAACAACCAAAAAAGUCCGCCGCCCACGUCCCAAACCUAAAACCACACCCCAUCCAGAAGCACCUCAGACUAUAUUGGUUCCUGCUACAACCCUGGAAGCAGUUAUUAGAACUGGGGCUCC